rnacentral:rRNA from 1 species
CCUACGGGAGGCAGCAGUGGGGAAUCUUCCGCAAUGGGCGCAAGCCUGACGGAGCAACGCCGCGUGAAUGAAGAAGGUCUUCGGAUCGUAAAGUUCUGUUCAUAGGGAAGAAGUCUGAGGUUGUGAAUAAUGACUUAAGGUGACGGUACCUAUGGAGAAAGCUCCGGCUAACUACGUGCCAGCAGCCGCGGUAAUACGUAGGGAGCGAGCGUUGUCUGGAAUUACUGGGCGUAAAGGGCGCGUAGGCGGGAACUUAAGUUAGAUGUGAAAGCUACGGGCUUAACCGGGAGACUGCAUUUAAUACUGGGCUUCUUGAGGGCAGGAGAGGUAAGUGGAAUUCUUAGUGUAGCGGUGAAAUGCGUAGAUAUUAGGAAGAACUCCGAUGGCGAAGGCGACUUUCUGGACUGUACCUGACGCUGAUGCGCGAAAGCAUGGGGAGCGAACAGGAUUAGAUACCCGAGUAGUC